GGAAGCCCCGGGGUCCUUCCCUGACCAGAAGGCUGACAGCCCGGGUGGAGGGAGCACUCGAGAUCCCUCCCCCUCAAGGUGAUCCCGAUGCUCUGGAACCCCCAAAUGGCUCACUCAUCGUGGAUCACUUUAAAGCUUUCUUCGUUUCUAACAUGGGAAAAAUAGUCCUGUUUCUUGCUUUUCUCUUACAGUUUCUAGAUGCUCUUUUCCCACUCCCACCCCACGUGGGGAACCCAGCUCAUCCGGAUCUGCAUGCUCGUAGCUUUCUCCACAGGAGGCUGAGAAGCCACCAAACACAGAGAGGGAUCUGAACGGCUGGGGAUACUUAGUGCCGAUCACAGGGCCCCGCUUCGUAUGCUUUGAAAUGCUUGUAUUUAAGUCAACUCUGUCCCCUCUCCUGGCAGAGUUUUCAGCUGAAGAUGACAUGAAGACGGUAACCUUCACAGCAGAACUAUGGCAAAUGCUACGAAAAAUGCGAGUAAUAGAUGCUCAGACAGACUGGAAAAUGCUGCUAUGGCAUUCCCUGCAGUCCACGUUGCUAGGAGAGGAUGAAUUCAGGAGCUGUGGGCUUUCCAGACUUUCAGUCAGCCCCUGUCAACACCCCUUAAAUAACCAGUGGUAAACUGCCUGUCAGAAUGAUGGAGAGCCACUUGAUUCCCAUUUCCUUCUCUAGGGCACAGACUCUCACCUCAUUGCCAGGCUGGCAGGUCAUUCGUCCAGGCAUCAUAUGGCUAUAAAACCAGUGGUAUUCUUUUUAUUUGAAAUGGGGUGGUAGUAGUGGUGGUGGGGAGACAUAAAUCCUAAGUGGUUCACACAGGAUGCAAAGUGACACAAUUUGUGUGUAUGUAAGAGUGUAUAUGAGUUUGGGGGUGGGAGGGCCUUAUUUUGGGAGAAAAUUCUCCCAAAUGUUGGAGUAUUGGGGGCAAAAAUUCUGUUACUCUGAACAAUGUCUGCAUAACAGUGAAAAUCAGAGGACCGUAAGUAUUGAAAAGUACUGCCAAAAUAAUGGGGUUUGAAGGCAGAUGUGUAUUGAAAAACCCUGAAUGAGAAUAAGGGUGCUGCUGAAUCAGGAGGCAGAAAGGAGGGACUUUCAGCUGGUUCACAUGGAAGAGAUAUGAAAUGCUUUAGACAGUCUGGAAAGGUAGGAAGCAGAUGUGAAAUGAACAGGGGGCAACCUGUUGAGAGCUGUUUUGAGAACUGAGAGAACAGACAUCUCAGUAUGCCUCAAAUAUUGAGCUAGAAAAGAGGCAGCCUAAAGGAGCAUCUAACACAAGCCAAAACAAAACCAAAAUACCUUAAAUCAAGCCCAAAAAAAAAAGACAACAGGAAAGAACCUUCCUCCUGGAAAUAUAAAUGUGGUAGAGGGGUUAAUGAUGGUGCUGUAUAUCAGGAAUGGAAGGUAGGAGCAGCAGGAUUCAGAAUUCUUGGAGUAGAGGUUGAGUGAAGAAGUCAGCUCACUAAAGGGAACUAGAGUAAUGCUUGCAAGGACCUUGUCUGUUUCACAUGCUGGUUGUUCCAUGGUGGCAGAAGUGGGAUCUGAUGUUCUACAUCUUGCAUAACUAAAAAGGUAGCAUGCACUAAACUUGGAAAGAUCUUAAAUCUGUACCCUGAAAAUUAUCCCACAUUCGUGGAAAAAUUAGUAUGCCUAUUAGUAUUGUCACCAUGCAAGAACUGCACUGGCAAUGAAGACAGUGAUGUAAGAAGACAGAAGUGAGUCCAGACACAGGAUCCAUUGUCUAAGCAACUGAUGGGAGAAAUGGCUUCGUGACUGUCCUGAGGCAAUGGUGGUGAGGCAGGAAUUAAACACCUCCCAGGGAUGAAAUGGUGUCACCUUGUAUUGUGUUUCACCUUAAUUAUCUCCAUGAGAACUUCACACAUGUAUUAAAAAAACCCAACAUGACACAUUCGUAAGGUAGUUACUAUCUGUUGCAGAAUUUCAUGUAUUAUAUUUGUGCCCUAAGUUAGCCAUUAUUAUCCCAAUUUUAUAGUUAAGGGAAUGGAAACUCAAAAAACAUAUGGCUUGCUUACAGAGCUACACAACUUGUGGGAGAGGAGCUGGGAUUGGGACUCCAAUUUUGGGACUCUGUGUUCAUCAUGUUUUUUGGUCCCCCAUGUUCCCCUUCUUUAAAUGACUGAGUACAUGUCAUUUCAAAAACUUGUGGCCUUGGGCAAUGGCAGGCAGAAUAGGAAGUAAAUAUGUCUCAUUUUCCCUUUGUGAUUUCUCUAUGGUUCCAUAAAGAAAUAAACACAUUUAAAAGGUUAGCCAUUUGCCUUUGCCUGAGUAAAGUAUAAAGUUUUUUAAAAAAGCAUUUCCAGUUAUUUUGUGUAUUAAUCUAAUGAUGG
rnacentral:lncRNA from 10 species